UGGGUUGUGGCUCAGCGGUAGAGAGCUCACCUAGCAUGUGCAAGGCCCUGAGUUCGAUCCUCAGCACCACAU
rnacentral:tRNA from 1 species